ACGGCCCGGCUCGCCGCUCACACGCUCUCGGCUCACGCUCCCCGCUCUCACGCACCCCUCUCCCCACUCCCCAGCGAACUGGCUCCCCGCUCACACGCUCUCGGCUCAGCGGCUCACGCUCCCCACUCACACGCACCCCUCUCCCCGCUCCCCAACGGCCCGGCUCGCCGCUCACACGCACCCCUCUCCCCGCUCCCCAAUGGCCAGGCUCCCCGCUCCCCAACGGCCCGGCAAGCCGCUCACGCGCCGCCCUCACCCCAGUGCGCCGGGCGGCGCUCCGGCUCUCACAACCCCCGACGCCGGCCCGCGCUCCCCGGCCGCACGCCCCCGGCGCAGGCGCCCGCCGGGCUCGCCGCCCACACAACCCCGCCCCCAGGCGCAGGCAGGUGCUGGCCGCUCACACGCCCCCUGCGCGCCGCCGACCCUCGCAGAGGCCCGGCCUAAGCUCUCCGCCCGGCGCGCGCGCCGUGUUCUGCGAGAAGCCCGUGGAGCCGGCCCGGGAGCUGCCCCGCGCGGCCGAGGGAAGGCUGCCUGAGGCGGGGCGCCGUGAGGGCGGGGGCGGGCGGGCGUCUCCCGGGGCCGCUGCUCUGGGGCUGCACAACCGCGUGCGAGAUGGCGGGUGUGCCUGUGGUUCCACUCCGUGGCUGUGGGCAGGUCGGUUUCGGCGGCUUCCCGCGCGCCGGGGACGCCGCCACUUCCUCAGCGACCCCGGCCGCCCCGCGUCCUCGAAGCCUCUGUGCGCGCGGACUGCGCGGUGGGCCUCUCGCCCCGGUGGCGCGCAGAGAGACCGGGAGACGGGCUGCUGGAGCUCAGGAGGAUGGACUGAGGCAAGUUCUGGAGGAGGUGAAAGCUUUAUACGAGCAAAACCUACCUGAUGUGUAAGUUGGUAAGUUGAUCUUGUAAAACAGUUUAAGAAAUAUGAUACUGAUGUCAGAUCAUCUUAACAUUAGUUUUUAGAUAUGGUUUUUUUUUUUUUUUUUUUAAUUCUCUGUGAGCCUGAUCAUACCCUAGCUAUACAGAAGCAGAAGGAUUUGUGUUAAUGGUUGUUAUGUCUCUGGGGACCUAAUAGUGCUGGCACAUGGUAGCUGUUCGGUAAUGCUUCUUGUCUGACUGGUGUGACUUGAAAGGAGUUAGGGUGGAUGCAAAAGAGAUGACCCAGGAGCAAGUAACAGACCUGAUGAGUGAAGUGUGUUGCUUCCGCUACUUGUUUUCAUCAGGUGAGGCCUUAGUGGGUUUAAAGGGAGAACAGGCAGUUUGCAAAUUUAGCAGGAGUAGCAGUGACUUCCGAAAGCUCGAGUGAAGUUGGCUGGGAACUCGUGCUGCGGAACACUACAGCUUGGUAGGCUAGAGGGUUCUGGAGUUGCAGACUGUUUAGAGCCAAGCAUGGUAGUUGGCACAGAGGAGAAUUUGAGCUGAAUGACAGACUUCAGAGGACCUGCGAUUGGGUGAAGAAGACUACUGACUGCUGGAGGAAAAUUGAGUUAUUGAGAGCUCUCCUGCAGAGAAGUCUGUCUGCAACUUGAGAUUUCGUCCCUGGCCUUGUUAGGUAGUGUUUUCAUCAGUUAGUUGGGCAUAGGAAUCAGUAGCGUGUUGUUAGGGUGUGUGGAGUACACAGAACAGUAGGAGCACUUUGCAGUGACUGUGUUUAAGGAUAGAUACUGGUGAACGAGAAACUUAUCUGCAAGAGGUCUGCAGUAAAUGUAAGGGAAAUGGAAAGUCCUGCACUCAGGUUCCCAAGUCCUUCAUUUGUUCAUGCAACAGAUAUGCACUCAGCAGUUAUGAGCUGAUAAAGGGCUCUGGUGUUUCAGUUGUAAACAGCAGAAUCAAGAGGUUUGCCCCUGUGGCCCUCAAAACAGUGUCAUGCAGAAGGCAGAGGUUAAAUGCAGGUAAAGCGGGUCCGAGUACCUGCCAUGAAGGAAAAUACCACACUGGGAGAGAGAGUCAUGCACUGAAAAUAUUGGUAGAUAGAGAAAUCCUGGAAAUUCUCUCCGAGGAAGAGACUCUUCAGCUGGAGCUUGAAGAAGUGGGUUUAGCGAUGAAGUAACUGUGGGCAGAGAGCAUUCUUUGGAGGGAACAGCAUGUGCAAAGGCCCUUGAGUCUUGAAAGAGAAUGGGAUGCCCAGGGACCUGGUCAUUCCCAAAGGCCAGUGUGGCUGGAACUUAGUGAGCAGGCCGAGGGCAACACCAGGGGAGAUUUCUGAGCAUGUGGGGCUGGUGGUGGCAUGUUUGUGUUCUGAGGACCACCCUGGCCCGUGUGGAUAGUGCAUGGUGGUACUGAGAGGAAGAAUGGUGGUCAUGGAGGUGACAGGAGGGGUGAGCCAGACUAGAGGAAAGGAGAGCAGGUUACACACCUGUUUAGGAGGUGACUGAAUAUGCUUUGGUCCAGUAAGGGACUGAUUUUCCUGUAUUCAUACCAUAGGGAAAUACAGUAUCCAAAUUCUAUGCCCUAGCCUCCUAGUUUGGUUCUGGGCAGGACAGUAACUAUUACCAGUUUCUGGUUAAAAUUCUUUGCCAGAAGAAAUCUAUUCUUAUUUAAUUGUUCAUGUGGAAAUGUGACUUUUUUUAAGGAAGUUCUUGUAUUACUCAUCAAGAACUUUGAUGUUAAGUUGGGUGUAUUUUAUUUAUGCUAUUUCAUUAUAAUCAAGAACACAUUGUAAGCAGUGUGGAGAAUAAAUCUAACGUUUGUAGAGUGGCA
rnacentral:lncRNA from 1 species